CCUAUGUUAAACUAAGUUCCCGGCUGGCGGCCAUCUUGGAUGAUGGAUCGGCAACAAAGUAACAACACUUGGUCAGCACCUCAUAAGGAACAUUCAUGCCAUGUUUGGUUUCAUUCCAUUCAGUGGUUCUCUAGAGGAAGUCAUUUGUAUGCAUUUCCCAUAGGGUCCUAUGUUAAACUAAGUCCGCCGCUGGCGGCCAUCUUGGAUGAUGGAUCGGCAACAAAGUAACAACACUUGGUCAGCACCUCAUAAGGAACAUUCAUGCCAUGUUUGGUUUCAUUCAAUUCAGUGGUUCUCUAAAAGCAGUCAUUUGUAUGCAUUUCCCAUAGGGUCCUAUGUUAAACUAAGUCCCAUGCUGGCGGCCAUCUUGGAUGAUGGAUCGGCUACAAAGUAACAACACUUAGUCAGCACCUCAUAAGGAACAUUCAUGCAAUGUUUAGUUUUAUUCCAUUCAGUGGUUCUCUAAAAGAAGUCAUUUGUAUGCAUUUCUAAUAGGGUCCUAUGUUAAACUAAGUCCCUGCUGGCGGCCAUCUUGGAUAAUGGAUCGGCUACAAAGUAACAACACUUGGUCAGCACCACAUUAGGAACAUUCAUGCCAUGUUUGAUUUCAUUCCAUUCAGUGGUUCUCUAAAAGAAGUCAUUUGUAUGCAUUUCCCAUAGGGUCCUAUGUUAAACUAAGUCCCAUGCUGGCGGCCAUCUUGGAUAAUGGAUGGGCUACAAAGAAACAACACAUGGUCAGCACGGCAUAAGGAACAUUCAUGCAAUGUUUGGUUUCAUUCCAUUCAGUUGUUCUCUAAAAGAAGUCAUUUGUAUGCAUUUCCCAUAGGGUCCUAUGUUAAACUAAGUCCCCCGCUGGCGUCCAUCUUGGAUAAUGGAUCGGCUACAAAGUAACAACACUUGGUCAGCACCACAUUAGGAACAUUCAUGCCAUGUUUGAUUUCAUUCCAUUUAGUGGUUCUCUAAAAGAAGUCAUUUGUAUGCAUUUCCCAUAGGGUCCUAUGUUAAACUAAGUCCCCCGCUGGCGGCCAUCUUGGAUGAUGGAUUGGCUACAAAGUAACAACACUUGGUCAGCACUCCAUAAGGAACAUUCAUGCCUAUGUUUGGUUUCAUUCCAUUUAGUGGUUCUCUAGAAGAAGUCAUUUGUAUGCAUUUCCCAUAGGGUCCUAUGUUAAACUAAGUCCCCCGCUGGCGGCCAUCUUGGAUGAUGGAUCGGCAACAAAGUAACAACACUUGGUCAGCACCUCAUAAGGAACAUUCAUGCCAUGUUUGGUUUCAUUCAAUUCAGUGGUUCUCUAAAAGAAGUCAUUUGUAUGCAUUUCCCAUAGGGUCCUAUGUUAAACUAAGUCCCCUGCUGGCGGCCAUCUUGGAUGAUAGAUCGGCUACAAAGUAACAACACUUGGUCAGCACCCCAUAAGAAACAUUCAUGCUAUGUUUGGUUUUAUUCCAUUCAGUGGUUCUCUAAAAGAAGUCAUUUGUAUGCAUUUCCCAUAGGGUCCUAUGUUAAACUAAGUCCCCGGCUAGCAGCCAUCUUGGAUGAUGGAUCGGCAACAAAGUAACAACACUUGGUCAGUACCUCAUAAGGAACAUUCAUGCCAUGUUUGGUUUCAUUCCAUUCAGUGGUUCUCUAAAAGAAGUCAUUUGUAUGCAUUUCCCAUAGGUCCUAUGUUAAACUAAGUCCCCCGCUGGCGGCCAUCUUGGAUGAUGGAUCGGCUACAAAGUAACAACACUUGGUCAGCACAUCAUAAGGAACAUUCAUGCCAUGUU
rnacentral:lncRNA from 1 species